UACGGAGGAUGCAAGCGUUAUCCGGAAUGAUUGGGCGUAAAGCGUCCGCAGGUGGCAAUGUAAGUCUGCUGUCAAAGCGUCUGGCUCAACCAGAUAAAGGCAGUGGAAACUACAUAGCUAGAGUAAGGUAGGGGCAGAGGGAAUUCCUGGUGUAGCGGUGAAAUGCGUAGAGAUCAGGAAGAACACCGGUGGCGAAAGCGCUCUGCUGGACCUUAACUGACACUGAGGGACGAAAGCUAGGGGAGCGAAUGGG
rnacentral:rRNA from 1 species